rnacentral:rRNA from 1 species
AUGACCGGGGGCAAGGGCAGCGUGCGCAGGGUGAUCGACGAGGACUACUGCGGCCCGAUGGGAGUCGUGCUCUUCAACUACUCAGAGGCAGACUUCACCGUGAAGCCCCGCGACCGCGUCAUACAGAUUAUUGUCCAGGUGAUUGCGACGUAG